rnacentral:lncRNA from 1 species
AAACUAAAACUAGUACAUUUUAUUAAUAACCUUUAUAAACAACCUCGAACUAUAUAGUGACCGACCGUCCCUAGAAUAAGUGGCAAAGGGCUUGGUGGUCGGUAUCCGAGACCCAAGUUCGAAUCCUAGUUGAUUCACAUUUCCAGCUAAGUUUAUUUUUAAAUGAAAUAAACGAAGCGGGUAACGAAAAAAAAAAAAAAAA